rnacentral:lncRNA from 1 species
GCCAUUGUACAAUAUGAACAAAUACAUUACAACGAAAUACAAAAAUGAAAAUGAUAGAAAUGAUAUUUCAAAUUAGAGGAAAAGGGAGAUCAACUCUUUUCUACUCGAACCUCGAGUUUUCACUCAUUGACUAAUCGAAGAAGAGGAAGAAAAGCAUAUACAGACAGUGGAAAGACUAUUCCUUUCCACCACUCUCUAGGGUUUAGCCCAUUCAGGCCAUAUGUGUUUGUGGCUCAUUCAAGCAUUUAUAUGGCCCAUACAGACUUACUCUUCUUCGUAGGGGUGGAGUCCUUUUUAUAGGCAGAUUCGAGCAGGAAACUUCUAUUCUUCUAGGCAUGUCAGUGUUGAAAGCCGCCUAUGUCAAGUCACAUCAACUCCAUCUACUACUUUUGUCUUCUAGCGAAGCUCUUCUAGCCUGCUGAUAAUGUCUUCUCUAGUAGUCUUCAUGCGAGUUCCUUUGUGAUUCACUAGCUUCUUCUUUUGUUCAAAUCUUGCGUUAAGACUGAAGGAAUACGAUAUAUGUGCAGCGAAAAAAAAUGGAUCUAUUUACUCUAAAUGCAAAGGGUUAAAGAAAAUAUGUACCCUCGUAGCUUCUCAAUUCCUCAGUAAUCUCCUCACGAACUCAAACGGAAACCACUACUAGUGUUGACCCGGUAUUCUUCAUAUUUAGAACCAGGUUGUGGGACCCGAUUAGGUGAAGGAACUAAGAGAGAGGAAUGAAAAUAAGAGGAGGAAUUUUUGUUUGAAAUUUGGAAGAGAAAAUUAGGUUGAAAUAAAUUUGUAAUUCAUAAAAACAAAAUUUUUCCAAAAGUCCCCACCAAAUUGAAAAAUGUCCUUUAAAUAAGCUAAUUACAUGUAAUUAGUUUCUUAAAUCUCAACACCUAAUAAUCCACUAACAAUAGAACUUAGUGGACUAGGUGUUUUCAUCUUAUUUAGUCACCUAUCCUAUUAAGUUUUAGUGGGAUUAUUCAACAAAAAAUUUUAUUUUUCCACUAACAUUAGUUCAAGGAUAAUAUCGUCAAUUGACCAAUCAAGUAAAAGUCAAAUUUUGACUUUUGAACAUUUUGAAUUCUUACAAUUUUUUCUGUCUUGACUAGUUUCAAUCUCCUGAGAAUGAAUCUGCAUUCAUUUUUCUAAAAUUCAAAUCACAUUUGAAUAUAAAGUCGGUCAAAGUUUGACUUUUCAAAGUCAAUAGUCAACAUUUUGACAUUUUUCAACUUUGACAAUUUUCAUCAAUUUCGAGCUUUCAAAUAUGAAUCUGUAUUCAUAUUUUAAAUAUUUAAAUCAUAUUUAAAUAUAAUGCACUAUAUCAAACUUAUAGUCGAUGACUAUAUCACAUAUUCGUCAGUUUCUCACUCUUUACUUAAUUCGAACAAUUUGAAUUAUUCUAACAUAUUGUUCUAAGUUAAUUCCAUAUGAGCUAGUAGAGGAACCUAAUGGAUCUAUAGUUCAUGUGUUCCAACGAUCCAAGAUUAACUUGUUAAACCCUUUUAGACCGAGCUAAUCAUUAUUCGUUAACUAACGGGUCAUCCCACUAAAGUCUCAUAGUUGCACUCCCCUCACUAUAGAUAUAUUUUUGUCCAUCUGAUAUAACCAUGAUCAAUAAGUUAAUCUUUCACAUGUUGUUCGUAACAUGGAUUAGGUCAAAAUAUCAUUUUACCCUCGAGAUUACAUCUUGCUCCUUAAAUUCCUACUGAUCCACUAUUGAACAAUUGGUUUAAGAUCCAACCUAUAAACAGAAUCCCUCUUGGGCCAAUGAGAGGGUGAGACCCCUUGUUCAAGACUUGGAUUCAGUCUUUAAUAAAACAAUCUAUCUACUAACCAUAAAACGGAUAGGAGGGAAUUCCAUCUUGCACCUUAUGUCCCUAGUCAUCCAUUCGGUCUUACCCCUUGAAAUGCAAGGCUUAUUGUGCCAGCGUCGCUUAACUACCAACACCUAUGCAUACCUAAGAAUAAUUUCCUAUGAACAGAAGUUCAUAGGUAGUUCAGGAUUAAGAUUAAGUUACCUAGGUCAUCGUUAAAUGAAAUAGUCAGUUUUAUACAGUCAACAGUGUUAUAACAUAAAAGUGACUAUUUUUCAUGGUUCCAGUCUUAUGUUAACUCUUUACAAAGGAUGCCCCCACUUACAUGUCUCUAUAUGAAUGAUUUAAGAUCACGUCGUUCAUUAUAAGGCAAUCAUAAUCCUUAAUCCAAAGAUCCAAACUAUUAACGUAGUAGGAAUAUUUGAAAUAAGAAACUAACACCUCCUUAUACUAAUUUAGAUCAGCCAAGAGAAAGUUAGGAUUAGAUUACCUCUUAGAUCGAAGAUCUAGAACCAAGAUUUGAAAAUCUUGUUCUAAAUUGAGUCACUUCACAAUCAAACUUCAUCAAGUUAGAUUAAAUGGCUCGCAUGCAUUAUAUCACAAGAAUUGCAAAUUAAGGAAAAACUCUCAAAAAUGAGAUUCAAAUUGA